rnacentral:rRNA from 1 species
CCAAUAGCGUAUAUUAAAGUUGUUGCAGUUAAAAAGCUCGUAGUUGAAUUUCAGGCCUGGCUGGACGGUCCGCCCUUCGGGUGAGUACUGUCUGUGGUCGGGUCCUACCUUCUGGCGAAGCGUCAUGGCCUUAACCGGCCGUGGCGGGGAACCAGGACUUUUACUGUGAAAAAAUUAGAGUGUUCAAAGCAGGCAAUCGCUUGGAUACAUUAGCAUGGAAUAAUGGAAUAGGACAAUGGUUCUAUUUGUUGGUUUCUAGGACCGUUGUAAUGAUUAAUAGGGAUAGUUGGGGGCAUUAGUAUUCAAUUGUCAGAGGUGAAAUUCUUGGAUUUAUUGAAGACUAACUACUGCGAAAGCAUUUGCCAAGGAUGUUUUCAUUAAUCAAGAACGAAAGUUAGGGGGUCGAAGACGAUCAGAUACCGUCGUAGUCUUAACCAUAAACUAUGCCGACUAGGAAUCGGGCGAUGUUGAAAAAAUGACGCGCUCGGCACCUCAUG